GACGGAGGAUGCAAGUGUUAUCCGGAAUCACUGGGCGUAAAGCGUCUGUAGGUUGUUUAAAAAGUCUGCAGUUAAAGGUUGAAGCUUAACUUCAAAAAUGCCGUAGAAACUUUUAAACUAGAGGAUGGUAGGGGUAGAGGGAAUUUCCAGUGGAGCGGUGAAAUGUGUAGAUAUAGGAAGGAACACCAGUGGCGAAGGCGACCACCUGGACUGAUACUGACACUGAGGUGCGAAAGCGUGGGGAGCAAACAGG
rnacentral:rRNA from 1 species